UGGGGAUGACGUCAAAUCAUCAUGCCCCUUAUGAUUUGGGCUACACACGUGCUACAAUGGACAAUACAAAGGGCAGCGAAACCGCGAGGUCAAGCAAAUCCCAUAAAGUUGUUCUCAGUUCGGAUUGUAGUCUGCAACUCGACUACAUGAAGCUGGAAUCGCUAGUAAUCGUAGAUCAGCAUGCUACGGUGAAUACGUUCCCGGGUCUUGUACACACCGCCCGUCACACCACGAGAGUUUGUAACACCCGAAGCCGGUGGAGUAACCAUUUUGGAGCUAGCCGUCGAAGGUGGGACAAAUGAUUGGGGUGAAGUCGUAACAAGGUAGCCGUAUCGGAAGGUGCGGCUGGAUCACCUCCUUUCUAA
rnacentral:rRNA from 1 species